rnacentral:tRNA from 1 species
GCGGAUGUGGCGAAAUUGGCAGACGCGCUAGACUUAGGAUCUUGUGCCGCAAGGCGUGGGGGUUCGAGUCCCUUCAUCCGCA